rnacentral:rRNA from 1 species
UACAGAGGUCUCAAGCGUUGUUCGGAUUCAUUGGGCGUAAAGGGUGCGUAGGUGGCGUCGUAAGUGGGGGUGUGAAAUCCCGGGGCUUAACCCCGGGACUGCAUUCCAUACUGCGGUGCUUGAGGACUGGAGAGGAGACUGGAAUUUACGGUGUAGCAGUGAAAUGCGUAGAGAUCGUAAGGAAGACCAGUGGCGAAGGCGGGUCUCUGGACAGUUCCUGACACUGAGGCACGAAGGCCAGGGGAGCAAACGGG